UACGAAGGGGGCUAGCGUUGUUCGGAUUUACUGGGCGUAAAGCGCACGUAGGCGGAUCUUUAAGUCAGAGGUGAAAUCCCAAGGCUCAACCUUGGAACUGCCUUUGAUACUGGGGAUCUUGAGUCCGGGAGAGGUGAGUGGAACUGCGAGUGUAGAGGUGAAAUUCGUAGAUAUUCGCAAGAACACCAGUGGCGAAGGCGGCUCACUGGCCCGGUACUGACGCUGAGGUGACGAAAGCGUGGGGGAGCAAACGGG
rnacentral:rRNA from 1 species